rnacentral:rRNA from 1 species
GACGAACGCUGGCGGCGUGCCUAACACAUGCAAGUCGAGCGGGGUUGAAGCGAGGGGUAACUCGAACUUCUACCUAGCGGCGGACGGGUGAGUAACGCGUGGGCAACCUGCCUCAAGGUCUGGGAUAACAGCUCGAAAGGGCUGCUAAUACCGGAUAUGCCUAUAGCCUCGCAUGGGGCUAUGAGCAAAGGGGAAACCCGCCUUGAGAUGGGCCCGCGUCCCAUCAGCUAGUUGGUGAGGUGAAGGCUCACCAAGGCGACGACGGGUAGCCGGCCUGAGAGGGUGACCGGCCACACUGGGACUGAGACACGGCCCAGACUCCUACGGGGGCAGCAGUGGGGAAUCUUGCACAAUGGGCGAAAGCCUGAUGCAGCGACGCCGCGUGAGCGAAGAAGGCCUUCGGUUGUAAAGCUCUGUCUGGAGGGACGAAGAAAGUAGACGGUACCUCCGGAGGAAGCCACGGCUAACUACGUGCCAGCAGCCGCGGUAAACGUAGCGUG